UACGAAGGGGGCUAGCGUUGUUCGGAAUUACUGGGCGUAAAGCGCACGUAGGCGGAUCGAUCAGUCAGGGGUGAAAUCCCAGGGCUCAACCCUGGAACUGCCUUUGAUACUGUCGAUCUGGAGUAUGGAAGAGGUGAGUGGAAUUCCGAGUGUAGAGGUGAAAUUCGUAGAUAUUCGGAGGAACACCAGUGGCGAAGGCGGCUCACUGGACUGGUAUUGACGCUGAGGUGCGAAAGCGUGGGGAGCAAACAGG
rnacentral:rRNA from 1 species